GGAGAGCCUGUGGUUCUAGGCCAAGCAUCUCACUCAUCUCAAAACAUCUUAUAUCCCUUAGCCAACAUUUAUGUCAAGUUUUAGAAGUCCUACAAACUGGCAAGCAUUUCUCAAUCUGGUUUAACCAUUGGAUUUUAUAUCUGUGUCUGCAUCUCUAUUUACAUCUAUGUGGUUAUUUGACACUCUGUAGUACAUUUGUAAUAGGUUCUAUUCGUUGGAAGUUACUUUCAGCAAACCCUUGCUGCUGCUAGAAUUUUCAAGGUUGCAGGUAGAAAGGAGAGAAUAAAAACCACAUCUUCUCUAAUUUUAAAAUUUGUUGUUCCUCAAAUCACACCAGAAGUACAAAUAUUACAAAUUACAAAAGCAGCCAGAAUCAAGAGAUUUCUGGGUGAUUCUGGCUAAUCAGCAGUAUUUGCUGAGGUGUGUGAAGCAGAGCAAAACACCAAGAAGCCCUGGAUGGGGGAGAGUUGGGAGGCCAGGCUGUGACUCCAGAGGUGCUGUUGCCUCAGGGAGAGGAGCUAGAUGCAGAGAGGAUAAAUGGCCGCAGGUGCGACCACGCCGUCCUUGCUGUACAGGGGGCCUGUAUGGGGUGCUUUGUGAGCUGGGUUAUGAACUAGGUGAAGGUCGUGUGAAGCGUCAGAGAAUCGAGGCCAGACAUGACGGUGGAGGCUUGGUGGAGGUGAGGAGCCAGACAGCCUCGCUAAAUGUGCGGUGGCUCACUGCAGACAGCGUCCAUCAGUCGCUAGACAGGCUUGAUCUUCAGCCCCUACGACAGCUGCCUUUAUCCUGUCUGCCUCCACCUUCUGAGGCCUAUAGGCAUCUCAAAUGUGUGUUUCUUAAACAGAUUUGGAUGAGUUGCUUUCUGCACAACACACCUGGACAGACGGAGGCUGGUUCUCCACAAUGGCACCAGGGACUUGGCAGAGACUGGCGGGACAGAGGCACAGCACCAGCUCCCUGGGAGAAGGCAGUGCCUGUGGGAUGGAGGAAAGAAGAGGCACACAGUGCUGAGAUCUAUACAACCUGGCGUUUGGCCGUGGCUUCCAGGACAGGCUGGAUGCAGAGUGAAGUCCUCUCCUCACUGUCAAUGUUUGCAGAUGUCUUCUUAUAAACUUCAUUUUCUUGAGACUUUCAAUUAGGUUUUUACUUAACUGGACUUUUAAAAUUGCCAUGCACAUAACUCUACCAGUUACAAUCUUGAGCUAAC
rnacentral:lncRNA from 1 species